GCAGUGGUGGUUCAGUGGUAGGAUUCUUGUCUUCCAUGUGGGAGACUCAGGUGCAAUUCCUGUCCAAUGUA
rnacentral:tRNA from 1 species